rnacentral:rRNA from 1 species
AUACGGAGGAUCCGAGCGUUAUCCGGAUUUAUUGGGUUUAAAGGGAGCGUAGGCGGACGCUUAAGUCAGUUGUGAAAGUUUGCGGCUCAACCGUAAAAUUGCAGUUGAUACUGGGUGUCUUGAGUACAGUAGAGGCAGGCCGAAUACGUGGUGGAGAGGGGUAAUGCUUAGAUAUCACGAAGAACUCCGAUUGCGAAGGCAGCCUGCUGGACUGUAACUGACGCUGAUGCUCGAAAGUGUGGGUAUCAAACAGGAUUAGAUACCCUGGUAGUCCACACAGUAAACGAUGAAUACUCGCUGUUUGCGAUAUACAGUAAGCGGCCAAGCGAAAGCGUUAAGUAUUCCACCUGGGGAGCACGCCGGCAACGGUGAAACUCAAAGGAAUUGACGGGG